CCGCCCCGGCAGCGUCACGUGACUUACACUACUUCCUGUGAGCGGUAGUCCGCAAGGUUAGGUGAAAAUGACUUCCGAAAGAGCUGCAGGCACUUCCGGUCGAGGUGAAGUUAAGCACCCGGGCUUUCCUCUACAUGGCGCCCGCUGACCAGAGUCGGACUGUAUUGGUGUGGCUGGGCCCGGUCCCCAACCAGACCCAGUACCCAGCAAACAUCUCGACUGAAGUAAUGAACCUGCCGUUUGCGGGCCGGCAAACCCGUAUCUUAAGUGUUAGGGAGACAGCUGAUUUGAAGUCAAAUCCCCAGGCCGAUCAGUCUAUUACGAGAAAGGAAGUCACAGAGCUAACCUCAGAGCUGUGAGGACUAAGCAAGGAGGUACCUACGAAGCACUGUGCAUGUGCAGUGCGUGACAAAGCCACUUGUACCCAGAGUUGACCUUUGGACCACCCCUCACCACUCAGCCCCAGGCAGCACUGCAGGCUACAGGUAGAAGGCUGGCCACUAAGCUUGGACCUGGGCAGAUAAAGCCCCAGAGCCUGGACCACAGUGAUCAUCCGUUCCCUCCAUGUGCACACGUUGAAACCUCAGGCUCGGACCGAGGGGCAGUGACAGCCAAAGUCAUUCGUUCAGCAGCUUCUGGCACCUAAGGAGGAGAGGAAGGAGGCAUCUGUUCAUGCUGCCACACCAGAGCACCUGCUCCUCUGGACUCGCCCCUUUGUUACCUUCUGUGAACCUCAUUCUCGCCUAACACUCCUGAGCAGUGCCAGCUGGCCCAGCCCACACCAUGCCACACGGGGCCUCGCUGUGGAAGGGAUGGGUGGCGACAAGCCCUCAGACAAUGGUGAACAAGGCUCACACUAUGUCCCCUGGCUUCUCAGAAUCCGUAAGGCAGAGGUCACCUUCUCCAGGACAUCUCCGACCUCUCAGCACGAUGCCAGGUGCCCCUUACCCCAGACCCCGACAGCCCUGGCUGGCAUCGCGUGUCCUUGUGUCGGACUUCCGUGUUAGAGCGUGAGCCUCAGGUACACUGACCCCGGCGCCAGCAGACAUUCAGUAAAUAUUGGUUUAACACAUUCAGUAGCUCCCCCUUCCCUGGCUCGCACCCCACUGGCAGGCUCGCCCUGGAUCUGCUCCCGGGCAGGCCUUGAUGCCUUCCCAAACACCACCACCCCACAAAG